UGAUGAAGCGUGAGAUGUCCUUGUAAUAUAUAUAUAUAUUAUGUAUGUGUAAUAUUUCGUUUAUAUAUAAAUGAAGGGAGUGGACCAAAGCAUGGGACAAUACUGGACACACGUUUAAAAGAACUCUUGUCUUUUUAUUUUUUCAGAAUUCAAUCAAGUAUUGAAAACGUAAUAUGGGAAACAAGCCAUGAUUUUGAAUCAGAUUGGUCUUUGGGCAGAUUGGAUGAGAUAAAGUAUAUUGGAAGGUGCAUCGUUUGAGCUUCACCUGUUUCUUCAUGGAGAAUAGUAGGAAACCACCAUCCAAUCCUGAUAGUAAUUCUGACAACAUUCGGUAG